rnacentral:rRNA from 1 species
UACGAAGGGGGCUAGCGUUGUUCGGAAUCACUGGGCGUAAAGGGCGCGUAGGCGGCCAUAUAAGUCGGGGGUGAAAGCCUGUGGCUCAACCACAGAAUUGCCUUCGAUACUGUAUGGCUCGAGACCGGAAGAGGUAAGUGGAACUGCGAGUGUAGAGGUGAAAUUCGUAGAUAUUCGCAAGAACACCAGUGGCGAAGGCGGCUUACUGGACCGGUUCUGACGCUGAGGCGCGAAAGCGUGGGGAGCAAACAGG